rnacentral:tRNA from 2 species
CAUGUGGUUCAACCACCUCAAUUA